UACGAAGGGGGCUAGCGUUGUUCGGAAUUACUGGGCGUAAAGCGCACGUAGGCGGAUAUUUAAGUCAGGGGUGAAAUCCCGGGGCUCAACCCCGGACUGCCUUUGAUACUGGGUAUCUAGAGUCCAGAAGAGGUGAGUGGAAUUCCGAGUGUAGAGGUGAAAUUCGUAGAUAUUCGGAGGAACACCAGUGGCGAAGGCGGCUCACUGGUCUGGUACUGACGCUGAGGUGCGAAAGCGUGGGGAGCAAACAGG
rnacentral:rRNA from 1 species